UCAAACCAGAACAAAUAAAUACAAGUGUUGUUUAUGUUUGUUAUGUUUUUGUAAUCAAAUAAAUACGAACAUAACUAGCCAAGGCAAUUAUUUUUAAUUUAAUUUCAAAUAAAACUAAAUUUAUUUUCGGAUUUGUUACCAAAACGGUUAAGACUUUCGAAUCAAGUGAAGACUAAUUGUAGAGCGACAUGACAGAAAAACGAAAAUUUCGGCCACAAUAAUUUUCUACUUUUAAAUGGUUGAUGGAUAAUGAUGGCUCUGCUUUCUGUAACAUUUGCUCUAAGGCCUUGAUAUGCCCCACUAGAAGAGACAAAUAUCACUUGAUACAUUUUGCACGGAAAAAACUAAUGAAGCUCUGCAAGUUAGAAAUGCUGAACUUAUUCUCGUUAUGUGUUUUAUAAUGCAUAAUUUGCCUUUCUGGUCGGAUGUUGGAUUCAAAAAUAGCACCAAUGACCAAAUGCGGUACGACGAAGUCAACCGAGAUUGAGAACUACAUUGCACAGCAGACGAGCUCUUAUUUUACCAAAUUUGGAAUAAACCGAGUAUAUAGCAAAUAAUCCAUUUAUCGAUUUUAAAAACCAUUAACACCAAAUUGAAACUGCAAACAUUUUUAUUGCAACGAAAGUCAAAAUUUUUGCAGAAAACAAUUUCAAUGCAGCUCAAAUAGUUGAAGUGAAAAAUUAAAUUAAUGGAGUUUAUUUUAUAUAGAGUUAUUAGCAUAAAUUAAAAAAAAGAGUUGUCUUUCAUCAAGAAAAUCUGAAACUAUUGGAAAUAAUUACGCUUACCAAAGUCCUUUCAGCAAUGGUUCGGCAAAUAUUACCGCUUAUUGAAAUAUGUCAAAACCUUCUUAAUUAUGAUCCCGAUCUUAUUCAUUACCACACAAUGGAAUUUGUUGCGACUUUCAGAAAUAAAUCUUUCUUAAGAUUUA